CGGCGGACGGGUGAGUAACGCGUGGGUAACCUGCCUCAUACAGGGGGAUAACAGUUGGAAACGACUGCUAAUACCGCAUAAGCCCACGGCUCGGCAUCGAGCAGAGGGAAAAGGAACAAUCCGCUUUGAGAUGGCCUCGCGUCCGAUUAGCUAGUUGGUGAGGUAACGGCCCACCAAGGCGACGAUCGGUAGCCGGACUGAGAGGUUGAACGGCCACAUUGGGACUGAGACACGGCCCAG
rnacentral:rRNA from 1 species